rnacentral:rRNA from 1 species
CCUACGGGAGGCAGCAGUAGGGAAUCUUCCGCAAUGGACGAAAGUCUGACGGAGCAACGCCGCGUGAACGAUGAAGGCCUUCGGGUCGUAAAGUUCUGUUGUUAGGGAAGAACAAGUGCUAGUUGAAUAAGCUGGCACCUUGACGGUACCUAACCAGAAAGCCACGGCUAACUACGUGCCAGCAGCCGCGGUAAUACGUAGGUGGCAAGCGUUGUCCGGAAUUAUUGGGCGUAAAGCGCGCGCAGGCGGUUUCUUAAGUCUGAUGUGAAAGCCCCCGGCUCAACCGGGGAGGGUCAUUGGAAACUGGGAAACUUGAGUGCAGAAGAGGAAAGUGGAAUUCCAAGUGUAGCGGUGAAAUGCGUAGAGAUUUGGAGGAACACCAGUGGCGAAGGCGACUUUCUGGUCUGUAACUGACGCUGAGGCGCGAAAGCGUGGGGAGCAAACAGGAUUAGAUACCCUGGUAGUCCACGCUGUAAACGAUGAGUGCUAAGUGUUAGAGGGUUUCCGCCCUUUAGUGCUGAAGUUAACGCAUUAAGCACUCCGCCUGGGGAUACGGUCGCAAGACUGAAACUUAANGAAUUGACGG